rnacentral:rRNA from 1 species
UUUAUGGAGAGUUUGAUCCUGGCUCAGGAUGAACGCUGGCGGCGUGCCUAAUACAUGCAAGUCGAGCGAACGGACGAGAAGCUUGCUUCUCUGAUGUUAGCGGCGGACGGGUGAGUAACACGUGGAUAACCUACCUAUAAGACUGGGAUAACUUCGGGAAACCGGAGCUAAUACCGGAUAAUAUUUUGAACCGCAUGGUUCAAAAGUGAAAGACGGUCUUGCUGUCACUUAUAGAUGGAUCCGCGCUGCAUUAGCUAGUUGGUAAGGUAACGGCUUACCAAGGCAACGAUGCAUAGCCGACCUGAGAGGGUGAUCGGCCACACUGGAACUGAGACACGGUCCAGACUCCUACGGGAGGCAGCAGUAGGGAAUCUUCCGCAAUGGGCGAA